rnacentral:rRNA from 1 species
AGCUCCAUUGGCGUAUAUUAAAGUUGUUGCGGUUAAAAAGCUCGUAGUUGGAUCUGUGUCUCGGACGGUCGGUUCGCCGCUCGCGGCGUUUAACUGACCGGUCCGGACGUCCUGCCGGUGGGUUUCCCGGGCUUCACCGCUCGGGAGCCCGUAACUCCCUCCGCGCUGCUCUUAACCGAGUGGUUCGGUGGGCCGGCACGUUUACUUUGAACAAAUUUGAGUGCUUAAAGCAGGCCUUUUGUCGCCUGAAAACUGAGUGCAUGGAAUAAUGGAAUAGGGCCUCGGUUCUAUUUUGUUGGCUUUUCUGAACCCGAGGUAAUGAUUAAUAGGGACAGACGGGGGCAUUCGUAUUGCGACGUUAGAGGUGAAAUUCUUGGAUCGUCGCAAGACGGACUGAUGCGAAAGCGUUUGCCAAGAAUGUUUUCGCUAAUCAAGAACGAAAGUUAGAGGUUCGAAGGCGAUCAGAUACCGCCCUAGUUCUAACCAUAAACGAUGCCAGCCAGCGAUGCGCCCAAGUUCCUCCGAUGACUGGGCGCGCAGCUUCCGGGAAACCAAAGCUUUUGGGUUCCGGGGGAAGUA